rnacentral:rRNA from 1 species
AGCGAACGCUGGCGGCAGGCCUAACACAUGCAAGUCGAACGAACUCUUCGGAGUUAGUGGCGGACGGGUGAGUAACACGUGGGAACGUGCCUAUUGGCUCGGAAUAACUCAGGGAAACUCGUGCAAAUACCGAAUGUGCCCUUCGGGGGAAAGAUUUAUCGCGAUUAGAGCGGCCCGCGUCUGAUUGGCUAGUUGGUGAGGUAACGGCUCACCAAGGCGACGAUCAGUAGCUGGUCUGAGAGGAUGACCAGCCACACUGGGACUGAGACACGGCCCAGACUCCUACGGGAGGCAGCAGUAGGGAAUCUUGCGCAAUGGGCGAAAGCCUGACGCAGCCAUGCCGCGUGAAUGAUGAAGGUCUUAGGAUUGUAAAAUUCUUUCACCGGGGACGAUAAUGACGGUACCCGGAGAAGAAGCCCCGGCUAACUUCGUG